UACAAAAUGACUCUCGGCAACGGAUAUCUCGGCUCUUGCAUCGAUGAAGAACGUAGCGAAAUGCGAUACUUGGUGUGAAUUGCAGAAUCCCGUGAACCAUCGAGUCUUUGAACGCAAGUUGCGCCCGAAGCCAUUAGGUCGAGGGCACGCCUGCCUGGGUGUCACG
rnacentral:rRNA from 1 species